rnacentral:rRNA from 1 species
ACGAAGUAUAAGAGGUCCCGCCUGCCCUGUGACUAUAUGUUUAACGGCCGCGGUAUUUUGACCGUGCGAAGGUAGCGCAAUCACUUGUCUUUUAAAUGGGGACCUGUAUGAAUGGCAUAACGAGGGCUUAACUGUCUCCUCUUUCAAGUCAAUGAAAUUGAUCUCCCCGUGCAGAAGCGAGGAUAGAUACAUAAGACGAGAAGACCCUAUGGAGCUUUAGACACUAAAGCAGAUCAGUAUUAAUACCCUGAACAUAGGCUACGAAUAAACUGACCCCUGCCCUAAUGUCUUUGGUUGGGGCGACCGCGGAGAAAAAUAAAACCCCCGCAAGGACUAAAUGUACUACAUUCACAAACAAGAGCGACAGCUCUAACUAACAGAACUUCUGACCAAUAAGAUCCGGCAAUGCCGAUCAAUGAACCGAGUUACCCUAGGGAUAACAGCGCAAUCUCCUCUUAGAGCCCAUAUCGACGAGGAGGUUUACGACCUCGAUGUUGGAUCAGGACAUCCUAAUGGUGCAGCCGCUAUUAAGGGUUCGUUUGUUCAACGAUUAAAGUCCUACGUGAUCUGAGUUUCAGACCGGA